GACGAAGGAUGCAAGCGUUAUCCGGAUUCAUUGGGUUUAAAGGGAGCGUAGGCGGCCUUGUAAGUCAGUGGUGAAAUCUCGCAGCUUAACUGCGAAACUGCCAUUGAUACUGCAGGGCUUGAGUACAGAUGCUGUGGGCGGAAUAUGACAUGUAGUGGUGAAAUACAUAGAGAUGUCAUAGAACACCGAUUGCGAAGGCAGCUCACAAAACUGUAACUGACGCUCAUGCACGAAAGCGUGGGGAGCAAACAGG
rnacentral:rRNA from 1 species